rnacentral:lncRNA from 1 species
GUAAAUUCCGGGAGUUGGUGAUGGACAGAGAAGCCUGGUGUGCUGCAGUCCAUGGGUUUGCAGAGUCAGACACAACUGAGUGACUGAACUGAACUGAAUGGACAGACACAGUGGGAGUGAAGAGGACAGGAUGGUGGCCCCCCAUUCCCACUCACCAUGAAUGGUGUCUGGAGCAGUAGAUGAAGAGGAGUCAUGGGACCCCAGCAUCACUGCUGAGGCACACAGGUGCAAAAGCCCAUCUCACUGCUGACAUCGAUAGAGUCCGUGUGAGCCCCCAGGGUUUCAGUUCAUUGAGCUCAUGCAGUUGGCCCUCUGAACCCAAGAAAAGAGUAGGUGUCCUCCCCAUCUUGUGUGUGAUGCUCUGAGUCAUGGUCCAGAGAUGGCGUGGGCAAGCAGAGAGAAGCUGCCCUCAGAACUUGGGUACAAUGACUCGACCUGGAGCAGCUAGUGAAAGCUUGGCCAGCACCCCAGGAGGAGGGCUGGGCAUCAAGUCCAGAGCAGCAAACCAGCCAAAAGUUCAUUCCUCACGGAGAGUCUGAAGACCUGCAUAUCAGAACCAGAGCCCUGGAAACUGGAAGGGCCAAGGUAAGAAGAUAAGCAAAGAUGGGAAAACUAAGUCAUGGCAUGAUAAACCACUGGUUUGCCUUGCUGUUGUAUCCAGAGCAAUAAUUUAUUGAUUAAAUGCUGAAGAUGUUCCCAUGGGUCCUCCCUUCCUUGUGCAUCCCUGGAAUGAACCCCUAUCCCAAAAGGUGACCUGAAUGUCCCCCUAAAAGGGGACACACACACACUGCUAAGCUGUGCUUCCUUGUUUCAGCCUGUGAAUCCUCACCCUGUAUUGCCCAAAUGUGUCUUUUCCAAAGCAACUUGGCCAUGGAGUCAUUUUGUAUUUCAGGAGGGAGGUCUCCUGGGGCCCCUAAAGUCUAGCACAUAAUUUGACAAAAUAGGAAACAGAAGCUCAGAGAGGGGUAGGAUCUGGCUAAGGGCACACAAUGAGUCAGCAGCACAGUCUGGGUGACUCUGAGCCUGCUUCACUACUCUACACUGCCCUCUGGGGGUAAGCGUUCCCUCAAGUCUACAACCACCCCAAUGACAACCCGCAGAAGACAGGGCAGACAAACCCCAGGUCCAUGUGGUAAAGUACAAAGCAA